GCUGAUUUAACUCAUGGUCAUACAUGGUAAUUGGAAAUUCAUAUUCGACAUAAAUGAGCAAUUUAAAGAGCAACUUUAUUUAAACAGAGUACUGACAACGCAUUCUUCUCCUAUUUUUUUUGACAACAGGUGAUCCUAAACAAAUUGGUAUCCAUGUGUUUUAAACUUUAUCCUUUUCCAUGAAAAAAGAUUAAAAGUAAUUCAAUUCUGUUUUGUGUUUUCCAUGGAAGACCAGCUAUGAGGUACUAAAUGCUGAAGUCAAAUUAGGUCUAUGCCCCAUAACAUUCAAAUAUGGAGUAAAAUACCUUGUAAUAACAGAAAGCAUGAGUUGCAUACAGGAUAAGUAGCUAUAAAGAUGACAACAACACUUUUGGCAUAUCUGCCGACUCCUGAGUUUGAACUUAGAAUGACUAAGACAUUUAUAAACAAGAACCAACAAUCACAGAAUUUAAGUCUGUUUGAAAUUAGAAGUAUUGUGCACCAUGGACUGAACAGGAAAUAAUGGUUCAUAUAUAACUGAAACCCUAGAACCUAAGGCAUUUAUAACUGAAACAAUAGAACCCAGAGCAUUUCAGUAGCAAACGGAUACAAAGAACAGAAAAGAAAAAAACGAGUGCCUUUUAAUGGUGAUUUGCUACUUAAAAAAAAAGAACACAAUUCCGGCAGACAAUUCCAUUUUCAUAUAACAUUUAUCAAAUGCCAACCAUUUCAACUUGUGCACUAACCUCAGUUGAUGCAAACUAAUUGACCCAAAUUUCAAAAUAUCCAAAUUCUCAGUACACAUUGUGUAAUGUACUGUGUACUAAACUUUUCCUACCAAUUUUCGAAAUACAAUUAUUCAUAUCAAGUUAUGCCAAAAACAGGAAAACAAAAUACAGCUAGAAAAUCAUAUACGCAUGAUAAUCCUCAAAUGAAAAUGCAAAGUAGAAUGGGUAUCAAUCGUUUGUUUAAACCACAUAAUAGCAAAUAAAGUAGAUAAUACAAAUCAAUGAAUCAGAUUUGAUGUAAAUCUUGUUAGCCAAAACAUAAGAACAACAUUUCAUUUCACUCACAAACCAUAGCCAAAAUGGAUUAAUAAACAAAAAGCGGUAAAAGAGUCCAAAGUUUAGAAAAUGCUUACAUAUUUCUUGCGGCCAUAGCCCUCUUCACCACCAUAACCAUAGUUCUUACGAGACUCAUCGUCAUCAACAUCGCGACUCUCAUAAGCUGGUCUCACAUACUCCUCCUCUUGCCUCCCAUAACUAGGCCUCCUUGGUGGGUCAUCUCCAUAACUCGGUCUCUCGUAUUCGGGCCUUCCUCCAUACGCUUCCUCCCCAUAACUAGGCUUCCGCCCAUAACCUUCGCCAUAUCCUGACCCACCACCUUCGUAUUCAGACUGUGGCCUACCUCCAUAUCCGGAUCCAUAUUCCGAACUAGGCCUCUCAUACCCAGGCUCAGGUCUCCUGCCAUACCCGGAUCCAUACUCCCCACCUGGUGGCCUCUCAUAUCCAGUCCCAUAUUCUGAUUCUGGCCUCCUUCCAUAGCCACCAGAUCCAUAUUCUGAAUCGGGUCUCUGGCCAUAACCAGAACCAUAUUCCUCACCGGAUGGCCUUCCGCCAUAUCC
rnacentral:lncRNA from 1 species